CCGGGGCCGGCUGGGACAGGACGGAGCUACGCGGGGGCUGUGCUACAAAUGGUAGAACACGGGUUGUAAGAGCUGCUCUGUUGCAGCUCCCCGUGUCCGUGCAGACACACAGAACAUUGAAAUCCAGCCUUCUCCUCCACAAAGAAAAUCCGUUCUCAGUGGUAUCCGUGUUCAUUCUUUGUUCUCCUCUUGGUGGCUGAUCCCCAGCAGCUUCUCCAGGGUAAUUAAAGUGAGUCAGACUGAGGGAGCAUUUGUGGCACUGAACCUUCUAUUUCUCUUUCUACCCAGCUGAUCAGCAGAAGUGCUGAGUGAAGAAUCUGAAGAGGUUUCAGAAGCAGUCAGAAGGAGAAGCUGAGGCAACAAAAUGUGCCUUUAUUCUGAGGACCAUCAAAAUGCCUCCAGAGUUGUUUGUGGAAGUUACAUUUAUUUGUGGAAGAAUUUCACAAGAAUCCUGGCAUUGCUUGGAUUAUGAAAGCAUUUGGCUGCAGGUGUGCAAGAAGGUGGCUGGGUGUGCAGAGCAGAAGUCUAACUGGGUUUCUGGCUAAGCAGCAUUCUGAGGUGGCCCCCAGAGGGAGGAAAAUCCCACUGUGUUAGACAUGAACUGCUGUAAGUGCAGACAACCUACUGAACAACUUCCCUCUGAGAAUGUGAAAACAUUCCAGGAGCAACUUGGAGCACAAAUUGAGCUACUUGGAGCUGUGCUGAAGGCAGCAACUUCCACUGCAACCAGUGUUCUGGGAACCGAGGGAAAAGUGUGUUUCCUUUGAAAACUACGACAGUACAACAUGACACCCAAAUGCUGUGCUGCUGCCAACUGAUUCCAGCCACUUAACACCAGGAGUAUCCUGCUGGGGUUUUGUCACUGAGUGAAAACUGUGUCACCAAAGCUCAGCUGAAGGUCUCAGCAGUGCAUGUGCUGCAAACACAGCACAGGUAUUGGAACAGCAGGAACCCGAAAGCACAACCCCCUUGUCAUUGCAGGAGCUGAGAGAAACAGAAACAGCAAGUGGCACUUCAGAAAUGACAAGCAAAUAGGAUGAUUGUUCUUUCAGCCUUAAUCAUGCCAAGUGUGAGCAGUACUGUGGGUAAGGAAACUUCCCCUGGAUGUGAUUGAUGUUGACAGUGCUCCCUACAAAGUGUCUUCUCCGGGUUUAUUUCACUCCUCUCUCUAACAAGGGGUGGCAGCUGCUGUACCUGUUACAGCCCUGUGUCCUGGCAGCUUCCAUCCAGUAUCCCACAGGGUGCCACUGGGGACAGUUUUACAUCAAGUGAGGCAGUAGCUGCAGCUCAGCUGUGGUCCUGGAUAGCUCUGACUUGCACAAUCUGCUCUGUUCAGCUCUCAGACCAAGUCACUGCCCAGGCAGCCUGUACUUACAGAGCUGGAGUAGCUCGAGCUGGUCAGGAAAUGGGUGGGAAUGGAAACCACAGUGCUCAGCUGCUGUGGGGCUCUCCUGGGAGAUGCUGGGCUUGGUAUCACCCCCAGAGACAUCCACAUCCCACCACUAUAAAGGGUUAAUGCUCAUUCUGUCAGUUCCCCUCAGCGUUUGCUGCAGCCAGACUUUGGGUUUCACUCCUCUCUUUCUGGAAGCUGAGGGAUGUUGUUUUUGCUUUAGUACGACUGAGAACAGGAAUAGAAACUUUGCAAUAAGCUCAGAAUGUUCUUUGGCUCAGUGCAUGGGAAAGAGAUUUAGGGUUGGAUUUCCUAUUGCUUCACACUUUCUCUUGCCCAGGGGCUGGGCAAUGGUUUUGGGGACAGUCUUUUCUCAGAUGAACCGUUGGACACUCUGCCUGUGCCUCUCAUUUACUGCUGUCAGAUCUCCCCAGGUGGCUUCUGGAAGCAAGUGCUUUGUCUUCCCCCACUGCCAAUAGCCAGGAAGGCUGUAGGCUUGAGUGCUGUCUUCUCAGAGAUGCACUUCGUGUUGUGGCCAGGGAGGGCAGGCAGGAAAAGAUGUUUAUUGCCU